CGUGGGUAACCUGCCCAAGAGAUCGGGAUAACACCUGGAAACAGAUGCUAAUACCGGAUAACAACAGAUGAUGCCUAUCAACUGUUUAAAAGAUGGUUCUGCUAUCACUCUUGGAUGGACCUGCGGUGCAUUAGCUAGUUGGUAGGGUAACGGCCUACCAAGGCGAUAAUGCAUAGCCGAGUUGAGAGACUGAUCGGCCACAUUGGGACUGAGACACGGCCCAAACUCCUACGGGAGGCAGCAGAC
rnacentral:rRNA from 1 species